UUUGAUGAUUGGUUGAUUGAAUUCAUGAUUUUAGAGUGGUAGUUGGUGAUCGGUGAAUACUUGACACAAGAAGAGAGUAGCCGAACAGUAGAGGUCUAGAGGAGAUCAAAUUCUUGAUUCAAAAUUUUUUCUGUCGAUCACAAUGGGGAGGAGUAGAAAACAUGAAAUCAGUCAACAUGUUGGAAAAAAUGAACAAGUAGAUUGUUGCAGAGGAACUACUACCUUGUUGGUGAUGUAAUCUCGCUUAUUUAAUUAUUAGGAGAGGACGAUUAGGGUUUACAAGGAGAAUGAGAAGGAGGAGAGAGACUUGAGUUUCUUUCUCGACGAAACGUGAGUACGUGAAUAUGGAAUUAGAAAGUGUCUUUUCAAAUAAUAGUUUUCGUUAUAUGGAACCAGUUAAGGGUAGAAUCGGCGAACUCAGUACCAAAAUACCCAAAUACCGAUUAAGGUCAAUUCUAAUAUCCAAGAACCGAACCGUUUUUUUUUCUUAUUCGGUGCUAACCGGUACUAAUUCUGAUUCGGUGCCAAUCCCGUUCAGGUUUUUCGGUCUAAAUGAUCGUCCUAAUCACGUCCCCUUAAAAGAACUACCUCUUGCGGCUUCUAAAACUUUACACACUUAACUAAAAACUUGAAUAAGGAAAAAUUUUAUAUAUAUAUAUAUAUAUAUAUACUAGGUUAUAACCCGUGGAAANNNNNNNNNNNNNNNNNNNNNNNNNNNNNNNNNNNNNNNNNNNNNNNNNNNNNNNNNNNNNNNNNNNNNNNNNNNNNNNNNNNNNNNNNNNNNNNNNNNNAUGAAUUACGAUUCCGCAUAAUUUACUCAAUAACUUUUUAUUUAAUUAUAAUAUGCAUAUAAUUUAGAAACGUUAAAAGGAAAAGAACUUUAUGUCUAGGAUACAUAUACAAUGUUUAGCAGCUUAUAAAAAGAUUGGUUGUUGGGACGAAACGAAACGGUAGAGCUCAACUUUUCAUUGAUGCAUGCAUUGAAUGAAAUUUUUUGAAGUAAAACUUGUUCAAAACUUAUAUUUUAGUUUAUUUGCAAGAUAUAAUAAUUUUGAUGUGUAUUAUGUUAAGAAUCUUAUUUAUGUGCCAAUUACAUGUUUUAAGUAUGUUAUUUAUAAAACAUGUAAUUUUUGACAAAAGAUUGACUAAUUAUAUUUUUUUAAGUAUGUUAUUUAUGUGCUAAGAUUCCAUAUAUAAAAAAAUUUAACAUUUUAUAUCUAAAUCAUUUCUGACUAAUUUAUUAUACGUAUUUAUAAGUCUUAUAAGUUAUAAUCAAUCAACAUAGAAAACAAAAAAAAAUAACCAAUUUUUGAUUCAUUUCCGCUGUGUAACUAUUCGUUUGUAAUAAAUAAUCUUUAAGCAUAAAAUUAUGUUUAAGUAAUAUCAUUUCCAGCAAUGUUGGCUAAUAAAAACUUAGCCAAAAUUAACUUACUUUUUAUUCCCCUGAACAAAUCAUUUCCAGCAAUAUCCACCGAUGAAAACUUCAUGUGUUUCUAAUGUGAACAACCUGGUUACCUAAGAACGUUUGCACCUCACCACAUUUCUAUAUAAGUUAAGUACGUUCUUAUUAUCGUUGCCCAUCCAUAUCCACCAUCUGAACAAAAGACAUUUAAAUCCUAUUAAAAAUGAGUUAUUCAAUUAAUAAAAUGGAAAAACGAUAUACAUAUCAAUAUAUAAACUUUAAAUUUUCUAACAUUACAAAAAUGUUUCCUUUUCAUUUCAUGAUGGGAUUCCUUUAUUUUAAACUCUUGAGGUUUAAAAAAACAUACCUGAACAAUUUGUGCUCAACCAUGUCCAUGUGAAACUAUCAUGUUGCCUCCUAAUUGUGGUGUACUGUAUGCCUAAACAUGUAAAGGAAAAAAGCACAAUAAACUAAGCAAAAACACUUUAGAAAUUAUAUAUUUUCUGAUGUUUAAUUAUUUUGAAUUGGUCAGUAAAAGUGGAAAUAGGGUAAUCCAUUACUUAUUGCUAUAAUUGGGUGUAUUUUCAAAUUGAAAUACCUUAAUAAGAAAAAGAAUUGAAAUAUAAUGUUGUAAUGGAAAUGCAUACAUGUAAGCUGUUGAAGAUAAACAUAUAUAAGUACAUUGUUAUAUUUUACAUUAACUCCUUGCUUCAAUUAAGUUAUAGUAUUAAAAAUAAUUGAUUACCAGUAAAUAUAAACAUAAGAACAAUGCAAGCAUUUCCUAAAAAGAGAAGACGGUCAAUUCAUAUAUAUCAACCUUUCUUGACAUUGUUACUAUUUCCACAUCAACCAUCUCCUAUAAUUCACAACAAAGAUUUUCAUUUGCUUCAAUUCCUUAAACAAAUAAAACAUUUCAGAGUUGUUAAUUGGAGUCAACCUACAUGAACCAAUACAUAUCUAACAAAGUAAACCUUGGACUUUUUAGUAACACAAACACACACAAAUUUCCAAAACAUAAAAAAACCUCCAGGUCGAUGUAUAGUGAAGUUGAAUAUAUCAAUUCUCAUGGACAUUUUAUCAAACACCUAGAGUGCAGUAUCAAAAACUCAUAAACGACUUAAUUGAAUACAUAUCAAAUAUUAAAACAAGAUAACCAGAAAAAUAAAAUGAAGCGGCAUACUCACCACUUUGUAGACAUCUUGGUCUAUCAACUUCCAGUGCAUCGGAAAAACCUCCAGGCACGGAAAAAAGAGAACAAAAUAUUAGGGUUAAAAUCAAGGCUAGAUCGAUGCACAAUGAUUGUCGGUGAUUUUGUGAGAUUACCUUCAUAAUUUAUACCUAUCUCUUGCUAAUGAAUUGGGAAAUCUCGUAACUUAAGGAGGACUUCUCACAUAGAAGUUGGGAAUGCUCAUCUAUUUCUAUCUUGGCCGAUUUGGUAUAUUUUACAUUUUACUGAUUAUUAACCAUUAUACAACUAAUAAUCGCAGAAAAACAGGAACCAAACCAGGACUGUUUGAAUGUAAGGGCAAUUUAGGAAUUUCAGUUAGUAACUUUGAGCGGGAAAAGAAGCCUGGGAGGGGACUAAGAAAUUG
rnacentral:lncRNA from 1 species